UGAGAUUUAUUGUAAUGGCAGUAUAUUAGUUUUCAGAGUGCUAAUGGUAACCGUUCGAUUCGGUUAAUCUCAU
rnacentral:tRNA from 1 species